ACUUCACAGUUACAUUUGGCAGGCAGGCGGGCUCGCACGCCGAAGCGCUCAGCCCAGAAUUAGUGGAUUUUAUUUGGAAUCUCCCUGCCUCCUCGAAGCUCCUCCGCCACCACCGGUUUGUGCAUAGACGGUAGCAUCCAUCAGCCAGCUGCACUUUGGGCUGCGGACACCCGGAGCCCAGCGCGCCUGCCCCGCGUCUCCGCACCAAGCUCCGCAGCUCCGAGAGGCAUGAACGGAAUCUGGAGGCGCCUGCCCAGUGCACCGGGACCGGUCAGCACUGGCCGCCCUGGAGAGCGGACCCCGAUCCCCUCCAGCCAUUUGUGAACCAGGAGGCUUGAAAUUCACCAGCUCAGAGCCCCGUAAGAGUAAGUACUCCCCCCCACUACGUAUUCCUUCAUACCCGAAGAACCAGAAGGGAUUGCUUCUUUUAGGAAUUCCCGUGUCCCUUCGGACACCUUGCGCACCUCCUUUCCCCCAGAUGGUGGAUGCGGGUUGCUAGCUCCCAACACCUACAGAGCUGCGUCUCCUUUCGCCUUACCCAUGGCUGACAGGGACGCCUAAGGGUUUUGCCUGAUGGUUUUUGCAAACUGCUCUGACAGCAGAUCCUGAAUAUCAAGCUACAGGCUGUGCCCCUCCAGUUUUCCCGGCGGUCUCCCUCCUUGCGGUCUCCUGGCGAUUUCGCCGCCUCCUGACACAGGCAGGCGCUGCUGCAGCCGCGCGCCUUCACUGCGGGGUCCGUGCGGUGAAUGGGAAGCCCCCGCCGCCUGGCGUUGAGAGGUGCGAACCCAAGGGAAAGGAGGCUGAGGGGCUCCAGGGGCCCUCUCUCUCGUUUCCUGCACUUCCUCCUCUCCAAGGCGAGGGAGGGCGAACCCCGCAAUGGGGCUGAGGGGCAUGGCUCAGCUGUGAAAGCCCCAGCGCGAGGCUUUCCCACAAGUGGCUGCUCUAGCCUGGGGGGCGCGGUGCCAGCUGCAAACUUACCCGGCUCCCGGGCUCCGAAGCCGUUUUGUAGUUGUGUCCUAGACAAGACGCUGCCCCGCAACCAGGCAGGACCCCAGGAAUCCCCCACUAGCCUCCCAGCCGGCGAUCUUGCACUCACAGAGGCCCCUGAGCAGGGGACUCCUCCAUAGCUCCUCUCCUAUGUCUCCCAGAGCCAGGAGCUGCGUUUUCUGUCAUCUAUCGGCUCUUCCUCCGAGAACCCUUGGGGGGCGGGCCGCGCCCCUCGCAGGACUGGAGGAAGAUAGGGUUUUUUCCUGGUUCUGCCAGCGCGUAACAGGUUCAUAAGGGAUCUACUCUCGUUCUGCGUGCUCCAGCCAAGGCUGCGAAACAGUGAAAACGUGCAGCCGCCAACGCUGAUGCCAACAGGUAUCCACAAUUUCCUCCGCAUCUUCCCUCCCCAAGACCAAAGCCUUCCCCAAUUCAAAUUGGCAGAAGCCUCAAAGUUUCCUGGUCAUUGACCCUCCCCGCAGGCACCGAGCCGCGGCACGUCAAGGACCAGUCGUUUGCCUCCGAGAGCGGAGAUGGCAGCUGUUUGCUUGGGUUGCUAAAUGUAAGAAAUCAAACGACAUUAAUUGUUUAUUGUUGCAAACGCACAACAUUUGUCCGUAAUGGAAAAUCAGGCUGGCAGCUGCUCACUUCAGCUCCAAUUAAAGGAUAGAGCUUAUAACGAGAGGAGCAGGAGAGAGAAAAGGCCCUUUCAACUUUACCACCGUUUCCUGAAGAUUCCACAAGAGUUUCCUCUUCAGGGGGCGAGAUCCGACAAUCCCUUAGCGCGCCAGAGCUGCUAAUCAGAUCAGCCGGCUGUUUUCUGUCACUGGGCUUCACGGUAUUUGUGGGCUGGCAAUGGGAAGGAGGGGACUCCGGAGAAGGUAUGUGAGAGCUGAGCCCUCUCGCAUCGGGCACCGUCGCCAAGCAGAUAGAAAGGGGACUGGGGUUGGUUGGGGCCGUGUUGAAGCGCCUGUCCUCCCUAUAACAGAGCUGACAGCCAUCUCAAUGGUUAAAAAUUCGCCUUGGGUUGUCACCUCCGAUUUCAUUAUAGCAGCUUUUGAACUGGAAAACUAUAUGUGGGAAACAGAUAUUUAUGUAAGAUUUGAGAGUGGGAUUUUCCAUCCAUUCAGCCUCGCCGCUGUACUUCACUGCAUGCAAAAUGAGCCCUGUCGUUCAUGCUAAACACCACUGAAAUCUCUUCCUGGCUAGUGCCUUUCAUCAGUUGUGUCCAGUUUUACAGAGAUUUCUUCUGGAGUGAGUGUGUGUGUGCAAGAGAGACAGAGACAGAGAAAGAGAGAUAUUCUUCUAGUGAAAGUACUGAAACCUCUGAAGGAUGUUUUGUGAAUGUUACAUUUUUUUUUUCCUUAAAAAGAGCUCUCCGUAAUCAUCAUGUCCAGACAUAUUUUCCACUUCUCUGAGCUCUGAAAGAAAUUCUAGGGCUCUCCCCCUUAUUAAAUAUAAUACCGAUAAUAAUAUUCUGUAAUUCUGCUUUAGCAGAUUUGAAUCCCCUUGUCAUAGAGUCAUUUCAUGCUAGAGCAGUUGCAGGAUUUUAAAUCAUAUUUUAUAUAUAUAUAUAAAAUAUUCAUAUAUAUAUAUAUAUAUAUAUAUAUAUAUAUAUAUAUAUAUAUAUAUUUCCCCCCCUGGACUAUGAAGAGGGUGAGGAGUUGAAGAUAAUUCCUCCUGAAAACAGUCUUUCCAGCAACCUAGGGUACUGCUUCAUUCUGGACUGUUCAAUAGCAGUUUGUCCUCCUUAGUCUGUUCAGUAUGCCACCCAAAUGAGUGUCAGGGUAUCUGCUGACUGUCAUAAAUAGGACAGAUAUUUUAGAGACACUGGCUAAUGAUCUCUGAAAUUCGUGCUGUAAUGCUGUCAUUUAAACUUUUUCAUCUUUCCUCCCUGCAAAUUGGAUCUUAGGUUUCUAAUUAUUAUUACAAUUAAAAUCAAUGCUUCUGCUUUGUAAUUUGUAGUCUCCCCCAGCCCUGAAGACUCCAGAUGGGUAAAUCUCUGCACCCAGGACUCUGUAACAUUUCUUGGCUGCAUUUCUGGUGUCCAGAUGCAUAUCUUGAGUUCUUAUAGCUGUGUGAAUGUGGAUGAAGAACAAACAGAUCGUUUUGGAGAAGCCCUCACUAGGAGCAGCUCCACUUACUUAGUAACUAUACACAUAUAAACUAUGAAGGCAAGGAAGUCUUUCACUUGGAAAAUUACUCUUGAGUAUUUUAUAAAACUAGGCUCAAGACAGCAUUCAUCUAAUACAACUUCUCAAUUUAGUAGCGAAAGUGAGCACAGUUUAAGGUGUCACUGGUAGCCUGACCCAUGUCAAUAAACAAACAGGACAAACAAAUACCACAUAAAAUCUGCUCACCAGGAGUAGAUCACUUGAGGGCAUUUGUAAAGACUGAUCUGUGAAUAUUCUCAUCAGGUAACAUUUCCUGAAAAUUAUGCAGAGAUUUAAGGUCUGAUACUCCUUGUUAGCCUGAAGGAUCAGAUUGUUGGAGCAAAGCAAGGCAACUUCAAAGACUAAGAAUAUAAUGAUUGUACUCAAGAAAUUGUACCUCUGGGCUUUGCUUUCCAGGUUCUUUUCCUUGUUUAUUGGUGGGGAAAAGGAGCAUGCACAUACUAAAAGGGUUAGAGUUCACACUUCAAUAACUGUUCAGAAAACCUUCUCAAUAUAAUAAAUUAAUGUUUUAAAGGAAAACAAUCUUCAUUUUUCUACUCAAGUUUCCGCUCUUCACGGCUUUAUCAACAUUCUAAUUUGAACAAGUUUUCCAUGCAAAACCAAAAGCUUUCAAUGGAUAAAUUGACACUCAAUUUAUAUUUCCAUCAGAAAAGUUUUGUGUUUGACAAAUCGAUGAACAAGUAGAAUCAGAGUACCCUUUCAAUUAUAGGUGCAAUUUAAAGGUCCCAAGACUUUCUUAUAAAGAUAUUGUGUUCAGCAUUGCUGCUAAUAUUAGUUUCAAUGAUUUUAUUAUUUGUUUCAAAGUCAUUCAGUGAAUCAGAGAAUAAAAAUACAGUUUGCUUUUUGCAGUUUGCAUUCAGUAUUGUUGGCAUUCAAUAAUGGGGCUAGAUUUGCUUUUUAAUUCAGAAGAAACUCCUGACUUGAGUAUAUCAUACAUCUCUUAGAGGAUGUAGGCAUUAACCAAAAAGGAGAUUAUUGUUGAUAUCUGUUAUGUGUUACACACACAUUCGCACACACACACACACAUACACACAAACACACACCCAGCUUCUUGAAAAUAUGACCAGGUAACUAACUCUUUAUUGGUUCAAAUAUGAGAAUUUUGUGGUAUUUCCUUUGCCAUUUCAUCUGCCUUUGAUAACUUGACUGAUUUGUGUAUUUGUGUAUUGAUUAGUCUUUAAGAUAUGUUAUCUGUGGUGCUGGGAAUUGCUCCCCAGAAUCCCAUAAGUGUACUGUUAUGAAGCUGAACAAUUUUUGAUGGUAAAAGGCCAGCAUCUGAUUUUCUGAGGCUUAAUUAACCAAAGGGCUAUUAGUCGUUCUCCUCUCAUUCUCACAGAAAGUUGGGAUGCUCAAUCUAUUUCUGCUGAAUUGUUGGUUCCUGCCUCUGGAACCCGCUUCAGAUGUAACCAAGAGAAGAAAAUUAGUUGAACCUGGCAACUUCAAAAGGUCAGAAAAGAAAUAAGUUCAAGGGCUGCCAUUUAGCUGCUUCUCCCAUAUGUUGCUGCUAACUAAAUCUCCAUUGCCACUUCAUGGUGCAGCAGUGAGGCCAUAUCCCAAGCUUUUAUUUCCUGAGUUUUAAAUGUCAUGUGCUAUUCCCUAUCAUAACAUCACUCACCUUCUUUAAACAUCUCUUUUUUUAAAAAGUUCUAUUGGUAAAUAGAAAUAUAUAGAAAUGAUUUUCUAUCUCUUUGGAAAGUAUCACAAACAAUAAUACCUGUAUUGAUAACCUUCAAGCCCUUUCCUUUCCUGCCACCCCCACCCCCACACCCCACUGUGCAAGACAACUGCAAAUGCCAGGAGGAUUUGGUCUAAGGCCAAGUAUAGAAUUAGUGCCUGGUAAAUAUUUAUUUGAUGAACUAAGAAAUUAGGAAAGAUGAGGCUACCCCUACCUUUGCUAGGCUAUUUUCCAUAAAGGGGAGGGAGGGAAUGCAAUCUUAUCCAAAGUCCAAUAUUGGGAUUAGGUACUACAAUUUUCUCUACAGAAAUUUCAUAAAUCCUCCUAAGUUUAUUUUUAGACAGAGCUUUUCUCAUAUUUUAAAAUCAAUUUUACCCAUGUUCCACAAAGCAUAUUUUUUCUCCCUUCACAAUCAUUUUUUUUAAACGAUUGCGGAAUAUAAAAAAAAAAUGACAUAAUUCAGCUUUGUAAAAAUGAGAAUGCCUCCAAGACUAGACUGGCAUCACAGAAUGCUAUUAAACUGUAUGUGAUGCAGAGUUAUAUUUUAUUGGGUGAAAUGGUCUAAUUGUGUAAGCAGUAUAUGGGUAACUCAAUGUCUGUACUUUUUCCUUGGUUAGUAUGUGUGAAAAAAUUGACCAACGAGGAAAUUCCUUCCUCUGUAUUUUCUUGGUUUCAUCCUGCUUUCUCUUUCUCUCUUUAACAUAUUUUUGUGUGUUUAAUAGAAUAGUUCAUGAUAAACUCAUAUGAAUUACAGUCUGGGUGUCUUUGAAGGCACACUCCUCUUUAUUGAUUCCAUACUCCAUACUCCUCUGUAUUGAUUUUAAUCAGAAGGAUACCUGGCCCUUACAUUCACCCACAGGGGAAAAAAAAUAUGUCAGUAGAAGAUGCUUCUGUGGAUGUGUUUAUUGGUAUUUUAGGCAUGUUGAAAUAUUUAAACAUGUUGAAUAUGUUUAAGGAUAUUUUAUUUAACUUUCUUUUUAAUCUUUUUAUUUUAAAAAUUAUUUACUUAAUUUUUGUGGUGCUGAGAAUCAAACCCAGGGCCUCAUGCAUGCUAGGCAGGCACUCUACUAUGGCAUCACAUCCUCAAACCUCCUUAAUCUUUUUAUGUACAUCAUUAAGUGAAAAUGUUGUAGUAUAUUUAUGUUCUGUUAGCAUCGAGGACAAUAUUUUUGUGUCUCAUUUCUGUCUAGAUAGAAUAUGCAUAGAAUAUGAUUAUUCAAUCCCUGAUGUGACACAAAUGACACAGAGUAAAGUAGACGGGAGAGAUGAGAUAAGUAACAUAAGGGAAUGAUAUCCCUUUUUUAUAUGGACAAUCUUAUUUCCAAAAUUUGAUAUAAAAUUUACAAAGGCACAUUCCACUCUUUAUUUGUCUAUUUGUCAAGCUGUUUGAGUUUGACAAAUAGGAUUUAACAUUAUGUCUAACUCUUACCAUCUUCAGAAUAGCAAUGCUAAGAAAAAUGAAACACAAAUCAUACUUAUUUGAUUAAAGCAGUAAAACUUACUUGCCUUUCAGUUUCGCUGAACCAUAGUAACUUGUAGUAGUAUAUUUAUCUUAGAAUCUGUGUAACCAAGUUGCUUAAUUUUGGUGCACUGUAUAUUCUGGAAAUUAACCCAAUGUUAUUUUUGUCAAAUGAUUGCUUCCAAAUGCAUGUCUGUUGACCUAUCAACCAUCUGAGUCCACAAUUCAUGUUAACAGUAUCAGUGGGUGGUUUUAAGCUAUAUAGACUUUGAAACAUGAAAGAACAACAGUAAGGUGCACUUGGAAGUGUGGUUGCUAUCUAGCAUAAUCUAAUUGAUAGAAUCUUGACUUCUUAUACCUGGAUACUUGGUUGCAUUUCAAUUUCAGUACAACUGGCUCUGUACCUCUGGUUAUGUGAUAUGAUUGCUUUUAACCAUUUCCACACAUUCUAAGUGAGAAAGGAAAGCCGCUAAUUAUUUUUAACUAUCAUCUGUAAUGCUAAAGUUUCUUAAAACAAAUAGAGUGUACUGAAUGUUUUUGGAAGAAGACACCACCUGAACCCAAUCUCUGUUAGCAUCAAUAAGAAAGGUCUGCUUCUACUAGUACAUAGAUAUCAGUUGUCUCAUACUGGCCUUAGUUGGGUCUCUCCAUUUGAACCAUUCUCACAAGAAGAUAGAUGAUUGUGAAAUGCAAUGAAAUUUUUCUUGUAGAAAAGUAGCAGGCCAUGUUUUUAAAUGACACAUGGCAUUCAAUUAAAUGACAAAUCAAUUAAAUUUGAUUGAAAGUGAGUAGCUUGGGCAUAUAUAGGGAGUGCUUGCACUUUGCUCUCUCAGCAGAAAACAGUGAUGGAAAGAAGAAAAAUACCAUUUCUUCUAAGGAAAAAGAAAAAUGACUGGCUUUAGGGGCCUAAUAAAACUAUUUAAAGUCAUUACAUUAAUUGUGUGUUAGCCUUGGAUAUGGAGAGCUAUUUAUAAAAUGCCAUUUCAUUUGUACCCAUUUUUGUUGAUGCCUUUAAAAAAAAAUCAAAAGCUGGAAAAUGUUAUUUUAUUUAUUACAUAGAAGAGUGGAAUUUUCACCUUGAUGUACACAGCAAGAGAUUGAAAUAAAGCAAUUUUUAAAAAUUAGCCACUAUUUUUUUCUAAGCACUUGCAAUACUCAGUAAAAUACCCAUGAUUGCAAUAUUGAUGACAGUUUUGCAUACCUUAUUUAAUUUCUUCCUCAAAUUUCAAGGUAUGUAGUAUGAAACACAGAGCAUCAGUUUCCUUAUCUAGUAUCAUUGUUUGAUGAAUUCACCCAGGCCAUUUAUUUGAUGCACGAUGGUGCUGUGAUUCAAAUUACUUCUAUUUGAUUUUAAAAUCAGUGCCCUGAACAACUGUCUCAUGGAACUUCCUACAGUAUUAUGAGGCUGAAAAGUAAGAUCAGUUCUGAUGGGUUACUGUGAUUUAAAAGGCCAGCACAAAAUGCUUUCACACAUUAAGUCUUUGGAUAUUAAAUGGUGAACAUAUGAUUUAAAGGCAACCAAGGAAGGAAGAUUCAACUUAGACAUAAACGAAUUUUCUGGUACCACUGUGUAAUUAGCAACAGAAGUUAAGACAUACACUUGGAUUUUUCAGGACAAUCUCAAUAAAUUUAUGUCUUAAGAGAGUUCAGAAGAAUAGAUUCAUCUUUAAUAUCAUAACUAAACUUAUGAAUCUAACAAAGUUUUAGAAGUAAAGUUCUGGUCCAGUAACAGUAGAGAAUGACUCUUGUUUUCACUUUCUUGUUUUUGUCCCAAGUUUAGUUCCCCCCAUUCUGGUAUAUCUGUAACAGAUUCAAAAGUUCCUAUCUGAAGAAUCAAUUUCUGACUCCAUUUUGAGGAAGGAGGAGGAGGAGAAAACCUUUCUUUCUUUCUUUCUUUUUGUUAAGGUAACCAGCAACUAUAAAACUUAAGACAAAUUUUCAAGUAAAAAAGAGUAGCAUGUCAAUAACUCUAUUUAUAUUUGGACACAUGCAAAUGUCAUUUCUCUCUGAUAUCCAAAGCUUCCUUACCUGUUCAGCUUCAGUCACCCAGGGCUUGACUUGAAUAGCACUGGGCCACACAUUGAAUCCCUUCCCCUGUGUUCCUGAAAUAACACCACUUCAAAUUCAAUGUGCAUUUACCUGUUUGAAGCAGCCUGCUAAUGGCUCUAAAUUCAAGGUCAGAAACAUUUUUAAUAGAAAUUCUCUGGUCUUGUGUGUCAUUUGUGCUUCUAUGAAAUAUUGUGGCCACUAAAUCCAGUGAUAAUGAAAGCAUAAUUUCCUGUCAACCACAAUAAUCUUCUGGAUUGAAUCCCAAAGUACCUUUAAGAGCCUCUUUUUAUUUUAAAGUUCACUCGUCAGUGUGUAACUUAUCAUUUGGAACUUCAAUCCAUGUUGUUUACAGAAUUCAUGGUGUAAUAUGCCUUUACAUAAUCAUUUAACAUAUCUGAGAAUUGACUAAGUUUACCUUAAAAAAGGGUUGGGGUCAACAGAGUGACAACCAGGCUGUAAUUAGAACUGUAUCUAACAUAUGAAUAUGAAUGAAAAAUCAGGUUACAAGUAUUUUAUCCAAGGGAUUCGAUCUUUUUUUGGAGGAAUUCUAAAAACUCUUUUACGUGUAAAAAUUCCAGAGGGUAUAAAAAUCUCCUCACAUCACUAUGUGGGUGUAAAUCAAUGCUUUAGCAUUAUAAUAAAGUGGGUUGCUUGGCCAGACAUAGAUAUUGUGGUUGGAAAAUGUAAAAAUAAAUUGAUUUUUUUAACUCAGGCUUUACAACCUUGCUUAAUUUCUUCUUCCUUGCAGAGAGUUAAGCAGUUGGUAUAUGCAGCUACUAUUCGCAGUGGUUAUUAAUUCUGAUAACAGUGACAUAAUGUUUGGUUGCAUCUCCAGAACUCCUAUAGAGCUAUUCUCUGAUCUUAUAAAAGGGCAAUAUUAAUUCUGCUGGUGACAGAAGUUCAAGUAUAUAAAUAGUAUGGCUCUCGGUGUGACAGUAGAAUCCUGCUUCUCUCCAAGUGGAAGAUCCUUUGAAGGCUGAAUCUCACCGCUUCAUGAUUGCAUGCAUGUGCACGAGGACACACCAGUUAGCUGGGCCGUUUUCCCAGUAUCACACAUAAAAUAAAAGGAGAGGGAAUGGAUAAAGCAUCAUGCCACCAUACAAAAUUCUAUUCAACCUACUCCAGACUGGGAAGGUCAGGUGUGUGUGUUUAGUCCUGCAUGCACAAGGAUGGUUAAGUAGUGCACCAUUGUGGCAUUAAAUGACACUGAAGAGGAAGUGGUUAUCUUUUUACUCCAUUGAAUAUUUCAGAUAAUAUCAAGGAAGUGUGAGCUGGAAGAUGGUCUUCUUUCAAAUUCUUUGCUUCUCAAAGGGUGGUCCUCAAAUCAGUACUGCAGGAGGGAUUAUUAGAAAUACAAUCCAGAUGUGGCCUGAGAUAGAUUGGAUCAGAAUCUGUUUUUUACCAAGAAAUCCAUGUGAUUUGUGUGCAUAGUAAUAUUUGAGAUGGCCCUACUAGGGGUGUGCUAGAAUUACUUCUUUACUGGGUUUCUCGAAGUUGAAGGUCAAAUUUUCAUUAACAGCCAAAACAGGUUAGUGGUCACAUUGGAAGUUUGAAAUCGGCCUGAGUGGAAAUCAGAAAACACUCCAAAUCAGGGAUUUGUUUUUUUUCUUUUAGAGAGUCCCUUGUUAAAUGUUUACUAGUUUGCCUCUAACUAUUGCUGAUCUUUUUAACAAAUAGAGAGAUGACCUCAGGCUUUGAUGGUACCCACAUUAGUCAAAGUAAAACCUUAUAUAAAAUGUGAUCCUUCUUUUCUUCUGCUUGCUUAUCUUCACAAUGAAAAUGAUUAAUAAUAAUACAUAUAUCAGGAUUAUUUUGAAGAUUAGAUGCUUGUGUUCCUUCUUCAUGUUUUAAUAUUAUCAAGGCUCUUUCUAAAUGUUCAUUAUUAAUCUUAUAAUUUUACAGUUACAUUCUAUUAUGACAAGUUACAUUGACUUUCCAGUUUUAAAUGAAUAUUUCAAAAACUAAGCCUGUUUCAAUAAAGGGUAAUAUAAAAAUACAGGUAGGUAAUUUAAGAAUUUGGCAACAUUUAAUGAGGCAGAAUAUGAGUGUUUCAGUGCUUAGAAGCUAUAUACAGGGAUGAGUUUUUAAAAAAAAUGACUGAUGUGGAUGAAAAAGAACUUCCACUGAACGGAGAUAAUUUUUCUCCAGAUUUCUGUCAGUGACUGCAGGGCAUUGGCAAAGUGACACCCACCAUUCCUCUGAAAAAAUGGAAAAUUGCACACCGUCUCUGUGGGUUGACAUAUACUUUUAUUCCCCAAACACUUGGAGAAGUCAGACAUGUCAUUUUCACAAAGAAUUGUCAAAGAAGAGUGUGCCUUUUUUUGGCAUGGACUCUUGGGAGACCAUGGCCAUUAUGGAUUUGGUGGGUUAGGGGAAAAAGAGGAGUGUGUGAUCUCUGGGUGAACUUGCAAGUAAUGAUUUAAAAACUGCCUCAGAUACUUAUCCAUUCAGAGAUCCUGGAGGUUUUGAUGGACUUGUUCCUGUCCGUGGGUUGACUGAAAUGUUCUUUCACAUUGAGCCCCUCCUCAGUUGGCUAAUUCCUUCUCAACAUGGAGGAGACACCUCCUCCUGGAAGCCUUCUUUUCUACUGCCAAGAUGAGUGGCAUAUCAGCACUCUGUAUUCCUCUAUCCCUCCCAAGACCACUUUUUUAUUAAUAUGGCAAUUAUGUGUUUUUUAUCUUUCCCAAUUACGUUGUUUGCUCCUUGAGUAUAGGAGCUCUGACCUGUUUGCUUUUCUAUCCCCAGUGAAUGACACAUAAUAAAAUAUGUAUCAUUAAUUAAAAUAAUAAAAGAAUGGGUUGUGUUAAGAGAGAAUUUUGAAGUGACUUUCCCUAGGUUCAAAUAAUGGUUCUGUCCUUACGGAGAUGUUCCUUAAGCAAGUCAUUUAAUGAAUUCUCUGCCUUGGUUUUGAACACAACAACUCAGGGUAUUGAAAGCUUUAUUUAACUGUAAGAUAUGUUGGCAAUGGAUGAUUUUUGUAGCUACACACAUAUCCCAUUAGUCAUAUAUUCAUUCUAGCUUGUGAAUCUCUGUCAUUAUAUAAAAUUGUUCCCAAGUUUAUAAUGACUUUUGCCUGAUUCUGGCGAGUUUAGAUAGGCCCUCUAUCAUGUAUAUCACCUUCUACCUGCAUCUCACUUGGUAGUUUCCAUAAUAGAAGUAUCUAUUAUGAUUUGAUGUUGGAAUUAAGCUUUACCAUAGCAGAAUCAUUAACAACAAGAUUCCCAAAGGUAUUUGGCACAAUUCACAGGGUAUAUUCCUGCCGAUCUAUCCUCACUGCUUUACCAAGAUUACCUCCUUUGGUCCUCAAAAUAAACUGUUAGGUCCAUAUUAUUAACAAUGUUGUCAUUCUUGCAGUUGUCAUUAAUUAAGCCCGGGUUGUACCCAGGUAAGUGUAAGGACUAGAAUGUAAGCCCCAAACAGGCCUGUACUAGAGGUCACUUGCAGGACCCUCUGCUGCAUCUAUAUAACUUGGGUCACUGGAGAACAACACAUGUGGCUUUUGAGCCCUGAACUAGGCCUGCCAUAGAAAGGGUAUAUUUGAAAAGAGAAUAAGUCUCUUCCCUGGGAAGCAGGGAGGCAGAAACAUGGACCAGAAUGUAUCUAACCAUCUGCAUAAAAUGGACAAGCCCUUCCCUUUCCUGCCUCCCCUUGACACUUUGGGGAAGAUUUUUGUGUAACUUUUUGCCACUCCUGGGCCUUGCUUACUUUUAUUGUAUAAGUCACGUAGCUCUAUUCUUUGCUUCUCUUUUUUUACUAAAGCCUCUGCAGGUCAGGGACCCUGUCCCCAUGACUCUCAUAUUCUGACUGAGGAUAAUCACAUGAAUUACAGUUUGGUACAGUUUAGCUUCCCACCUUUUUGUUGUUUUUGUGUGUCUUAGUUCUGAACCACACCCGCUGCUGCCCUGUACGAUAGGGAUUAUUUUUAUGGCCAUUCUGCAUUUGAGAAAACUGAAGCUCAGGCAACUUUAACAUCUUGUCCGUUACUGCAGAGGUAGCAAGUUGGGUGAGCAUGGAUUCAAUUCUGAGGCUCUCUGCUUCCAGAACAGACACUCUCUGCCAUAGCCCAAUACUCCUUCAGCAUGGCUCCCUACCGUCUUGCUGGGAGAGAGCUUGGCACCCCAAGGAUAUCCUGCAGAUGCCUCUUCAGUAAAUAAAUGGUUUGGCAAUUCAGAAAGGGACAGAUAUUUGGGGACUACUUCAUUGGGACCAGUUCUGAAGCCUGCGGAUCUGUGUUUUUACCUUGGGAUCAAAGUGGGUCUUAAGGGAAGACUUGAUUUCCCUGGGUGUGCUGCAGUAUUAGGGAAAGAAGACGACAUUGUUCUGGAGUGUUCUCUGAGUUGGUGCCCAAGGGAAAGCCGCUGUCUUCCACUUCCAAAACAACUGUUGCUUGCAGGGGCGCCCUGCACAUUCAUCAGGGUGGGGCCCUUUUGAGUCCUAGAAAUCGAACUGAGGACAGACAGAGUGACAAGCAGGGGGACCCAUCUGGCCAUCUUGUUAGAGGGGACACUGCCUGUAUUUACAAGCAGCAUCAGUGUCUGCUCCUUUCAUCUGGCUCCACUAAGCCACUCACCAGCCUACCCAGUGUUAAAGAGUUUUUUGCUUUCGCAUUUGGAGCCAGAAUAGAACCAGAGACGCAGAGGUGAAAGGUUCCCUACCCUAUUAUGAAUUCCCUGAGCCAAACCAUUCCCACAGGUGUCCUGAGGAAUUAUUUUCCCAUUUAAUCUAAUUCCGUGAGGCUUCUCUCUGGAAUCUGUAGUGAACAUUUAUUUUUUCUUUAAAAAUAAUCUUUGUGAGAAGGAAGAAACAAAUUUUGCUACACCAAAGGUAAGCAAAAAAUGUAUUUGACAACUCAGGUGAUGGGGAUUUCUUUAUUUAUUUUGCUCAUCCCUUUCUGAAUUUCUUCAACUGAAAAUUUUAUUUUUACUGUAUUUCAUUCCCAAAGGAAUUUUUUUUUUCAUAAUUCAAAUCUCCCGUUCAACUGUACAUUUACAACAGGAGCCCUGACACUGUCCUGAUUAUGGCAUAUAGGCUGGACAUUACAGAAUCCCUCUCUGGGAACAUUCUAAUUUUAUUCCUUCAUUAUUAGCAUCCUGUUAGAGAAUUGUAUUCUGUACCCUGAAAUGGAAAUAGUCCUGUCUGAUGGAAAUUGGUAGGGGAGACCAUAAAAAUUAGAUAAAUUCCUUUUCCCACUCCUAUUCCUAUUAUUAUUAUUAUUUAAAUUUACUCAUUAGAUUUCGAGUUUCUUCACAGAGUUCAGCAUACCCUGUCUUUUAACAAGGUUUUUCAUGUUUUUUUUUUUUUUUAAAGAAAAUGGUCAGAGGCGAUCUAUUCUGCGUACACCCCCAACUUCAUUACAAAGAAGAAUCUAAGAAGAGAGAGAAGGGGGGACCAGACAGAGGGAAGGAAGGACAAAAGUUAAGAAGAAAUGGAGGGAGGGAAGGAGUGCAAUAGGAAAGAAAGGAGGGAAAAGAGACUUAGGGCUUGAAGCAGUUUUUGAUAAGUGACACACCUAUGGAAUGAAUACUAAAAUCUAAAUGAAGCUUAAAAAAUCAAAGGACUUAUUAGUCUACUCAUUCUAAUUCUUCAGAUCCUCUUCCUUCACUUCAAGAGUUUGGGAAGUGCCUAUUAUCACUCACUUAGGUGCUUCUGAAAAGCAGUGAUUUGGUUUUAAAACCUGUUACAGGGGACCCUUAUCUUUCUUCCUCCUUGUUUUUGCAGGAAAUUUCAACGGAAAGGAAAGCCAAUGGAUUGUGGUCUUAGAAAAGCUGCUUAGAUGAUGUCUGUUUCCAGAGCUUUCAGCACGUGGCAGAGCUGUAAGUAAGCGCUCGGCACUGCAUGAUGAAUUGGAUGGCUGCAGACCGGAGGCAAACAAAAUAAUUGUCUCAUUUUCGUGGUGAUUUGCUUAACUGGUGGGACCAUGCCAGAACGGCUAGCGGAAAUGCUCUUGGAUCUCUGGACUCCAUUAAUAAUAUUAUGGAUUGCUCUCCCCCCUUGCAUUUACAUGGCUCCAAUGAAUCAGUCUCACGUUUUAAUGAGUGGAUCCCCUUUGGAACUAAACAGGCUGAGUGAAGAACAGCGGAUUUUGAACCGCUCCAAAAGAGGCUGGGUUUGGAAUCAAAUGUUUGUCCUGGAAGAGUUUUCUGGACCUGAACCGAUUCUUGUUGGCCGGGUAAGCUUCGUUUUUUUUAAGAUCCCGAUU
rnacentral:lncRNA from 1 species